rnacentral:rRNA from 1 species
UACAGAGGCCUCGAGCGUUGUUCGGAAUUACUGGGCGUAAAGGGUGUGUAGGUGGUGACGUAAGUCAGAUGUGAAAGCCCUGGGCUUAACCCGGGAAUGGCAUUGGAAACUGCCGGUCUGGAGGAUCGGAGGGGGGACUGGAAUUCUUGGUGUAGCAGUGAAAUGCGUAGAUAUCAAGAGGAACACCAGUGGCGAAGGCGAGUCCCUGGACGAUACCUGACACUGAGGCACGAAAGCCAAGGGAGCAAACAGG